rnacentral:rRNA from 1 species
GACGAACGCUGGCGGCGUGCUUAACACAUGCAAGUGGAGCGACGAACCAGGGCUUGCCCUGGGGCAGAGCCGCGAACGGGUGAGUAACACGUGGGUAACCUGCCUCGAUGAUCGGGACAACCCGGGGAAACCCGGGCUAAUACCGAAUGUGCUCCGACCACAUCAGUGGACGGCGUAAAGGAAGCUUCGGCCUCCGCAUCGAGAUGGGCCCGCGGCCCAUUAGCUUGUUGGUGGGGUAAAGGCCCACCAAGGCUUCGAUGGGUAGCUGGUCUGAGAGGACGAUCAGCCACACUGGGACUGUGACACGGCCCAGAAUCCUACGGGAGGCAGCAGUGGGGAAGCUUGCGCAAUGCGCGAAAGCGUGACGCAGCAACGCCGCGUGGGGGAAGACGGCCUUAGGGUUGUAAACCCCUUUCAGGAGGGACGAAGGUCGGCGCGUUAAUAGCGUGUCCGACUGACGGUACCUCCACAAGAAGCCCCGGCUAACUACGUGCCAGCCGCCGCUGUAA